rnacentral:rRNA from 1 species
CCUACGGGUGGCAGCAGUGAGGAAUAUUGGUCAAUGGGCGCGAGCCUGACCCAGCCAAGUCGCGUGAGGGAAGACGGUCCUAUGGAUUGUAAACCUCUUUUGUCGGGGAGCAAAAGACGCCACCCGUGGCUUUCCUACAGUCCCCGUACAAAAAGCAUCGGCAAACUCCGUGCCAGCAGCCGCGGUAAUACGGAGGAUGCGAGCGUUAUCCGGAUUUAUUGGGUUGAAAGGGUGCGCAGGCGGAAGAUCAAGUCAGCGGUAAAAUUGAGCGGCUCAACCUCUUCGAGCCGUGGAAACUGGUUUGCUUGAGUGAGGGAGAAGUAUGCGGAAUUCGUGGUGUAGCGGUGAAAUGCAUAGAUAUCACGCAGAACUCCGAUUGCGAAGGCAGCAUACCGGCGCUCAACUGACGCUCAUGCACGAAAGUGUGGGUAUCGAACAGGAUUAGAUACCCUUGUAGUC